rnacentral:tRNA from 2 species
UGCCCCCUAGUUUAAGGGCAGAACACCUGACUCUGGAUCAGGCGGUCGUGGUUCGAAUCCACGGGGGGCAGCCA